CCGAGAACUGUGUUGACCAGCUUCUCCCGUCCAAAAAGGCGAAAAUCCUUGGCUCUGAUGGAAGACGGCGAGAAUGGCACCCGCGAGAUUAUCCAAAAAUGAUGCUUCCACCUUCCUCAAGGAUGAAUCAAUUAAACACAACUUUCAUCUAGAGAGAGCUUCCUCCCAAUCCCGGAAGAAAAAAAAAAUCCCAUUCUCCUGUUUUUAUAUAUAUAUUUUUAUUCUCUCACCCAGAUACUCUUUUCAAACAUCCCUCUGUAAGACCUUUUUCCUUUCCUUUUUCUUCCAUCUUCAUUUUCUAUUGUUUGGUUUGCUCAGGUGGGGUAGAAAAGAAAAAAAAAAUUGGGAAUAUUUGUAGCAUAAAUAGGUAGCGAAAAUCCCAUCUUACAGUCACGUUAACUUGCCUCUCAAUAUUGAAACAUUGAAACCAAUAUUUUAUCUCAUGCACCAGUAUGCGAAAUAUCAGUUCUUGGACAAAUAAUAACAUAACAGAAUCAUGAGAAUAUGUAUAGCGAGAUGAAAUAAAACAUGAAAACUGAUUUCGAAAGCAUAGCAUUCACUAACCUGUUCGUUGUCCACCCUAAAAUGGCUCCUAAUGGUGUCCUCUGUUUUUUCCCCUAGAUCAAAAUCUCUCUCUGUUCUCCUUUUUCUCAGCCGUUCCCUCUCCUCCU
rnacentral:lncRNA from 1 species